rnacentral:misc_RNA from 1 species
AAAAAAGAAAGGUUGCUGAUAUUUGCAGAAAAACCAAAUAUAUUCAAGAUCCCCAUUUGACAAUCAUCCAAAAAAAAAGGUACAAGAAUGUGUAAAUAUGACAAGAAUACAUUCUGCAUUUCUGCUUGGCAGUAAUACAUGGUUGACACUGAGAAAAAUUGGGGAUAAAGCAAAAAUGAUUAUACCACAAUUCAAUAAAAUAAAUGGACUCCUUCCAUGACAAUUGAUGAAGUCUUGACCAUUCUCACCAGAUCCUACAUAAGCCCAGUUUCCCAAUCCUAUAUUGGCACUCAAAUGGCCUUCUACUAUAAGAAUGACCUAAUAGGCUAAUAUAUUCCCUCAUUCUGUGCUUGCUGGCAAGGAGGGCAGCUUUUUGACACUUCAAAAAAAAAAAAAAAAAAAA